rnacentral:tRNA from 1 species
GCGGGUGUGGCGGAAUUGGCAGACGCUCCAGACUUAGGAUCUGGUGCCGCAAGGCGUGGGGGUUCGAGUCCCUUCAUCCGCACAA